rnacentral:rRNA from 1 species
GACGAACGCUGGCGGCGUGGAUUAGGCAUGCAAGUCGAACGGUAUCAUCCUUUCGGGGGUGAGAGAGUGGCGAACUGGUGAGUAACACGUAGGUUAUCUACCCUCAAGACGGGGACAACCCAGGGAAACUUGGGCUAAUACCGGAUGUGAGCAACUUUUAGUUGUUUGAAAGGUGGCGUAAGCUGUCGCUUGGGGAUGAGCCUGCGUCCUAUUAGUUAGUUGGUGAGGUAACGGCUCACCUAGGCAAUGAUAGGUAGGCGGCCUUAACGGGUGGUCGCCCACACUGGGAUUGAGAUACGGCCCAGACUCCUACGGGAGGCAGCAGUCGAGAAUAGUCUACAAUGGUCGGAAGACUGAUAGUGCGACACCGCGUGAACGAUGAAUCCCUUCGGGGUGUAAAGUUCUUUUAUAUGUGAGCAGUGCUUCUUAUAUUAACAGUAUGGGGAGAGAGAUAUUAGCAUAUGAAUAAGCAACGGCUAACUCCGUGCCAGCAGCCGCGGUAAACUCGU